AUUUCAUUAAUUAUUUAAUUUAAACUUGCCGCGCUUCGCGCGUUUAUAAGUUGUCUGUGGCGAGUGACGCGAUAUAAUGGCGGACGAUGCUUUUCCACGAAUACAUCCUAUUUUGCUGUGUGAAUUUUAUUGAUAAAAUAACGAAUAUAGAAAAGGAUUAUUGAGGAGACGAUGUUAUAAACUUAAAUGUCGUUUCUUUGAUUGUUUCAGAGAAACAAAUUCGUUUCAUUUAAUCCUCAAUAUAUCUUACAAAACGACAUUUUCGUUUAUUUAAAAUGAAGAUGGACCGGUUGCAGUUCGAGUUCACUAUGAUAUCUUCAAAUGAUGGCAAAUCGAACGUGUUAGCCAUAACCUCUAUAACCACUGAGGAAGGAAAAUGUUAUGUUUUACCUGAAGAAUUGAAGCCAGUGAUUCAUCAUACAAGUAUUAUUAAAAUGAACACUUUCCCAAAAAUUAAAAACAGCAUAAAGAAAAGGCAUCAAAGUAGAAAAAUAUGGAUAAAAUUGGAUGAAGACCAAAAGAAAAUAUAUAUAGAUGAGGAAGGUAAUAUGCAGUUUUCAGAUCAGUACCUAGAAGAAAUGAGCUCAAAACAACCAAGAGACAAAGAUGACAGUUUGCAAAAUAUCUUGGAAAAAUUAAUAGAAACUACUACGAAGAAAGAAAAUCAACACAACCUAAAACAUAUUUCUGAGAAGUUUAUUAUUGAAAAAUUCACAAGUAAGAAUUCAAAUGCUAUGCAAUGGAUAGAGAACUUUGAAAAAGAGUGUGAGCGCUUUAAUAUUACAAAAGAUGAAACCAAAAUUGAUAUAUUGAGACUAUUUUUAGAAAAGUCUUGUUUGGAUUGGUAUAGAUCUAUGAUGAUAAAACUAACAGUACAUUCUGAAUGGAAUGAAUGGAAAGACAAAUUUUUAGAAACUUUUAAAAACCGAGGAUGGGAUAUAGUCACAAGUGCACUCACAUUCAGGUACAAAGAAGGACUGUUAAUUGAUUAUGCUAUAAAAAAGGAACGGCUUAUACUAGAUGUUAACAAAUCAAUAGACCCCAAAACUAUGAUAGAUCUAAUUGCAACAGGUUUACCUGGGUUCAUCUUAAAUAAGUUAAACAGGGAUGAACUCGACAGCUCUACUGACUUGUUCAACGAGAUAAGAAAAUAUGAAGGUAUGAUGUACAAGAAAAAUUUAACUACAACAAAGAGUGGCACAUUUAUUUAUAAGAAUAAAAGUGAUGAGAAGAAGCCAUGUAACAAUUGUAAGUCUUUGGACAAAGGAAUUAGAUAUCAUCCAGAGGAGUCGUGUUGGUUCAAGAAAAACAAAAUUGAAUUUGAAAAGGCAUUUAAAGCCAAAAAUGUAAACAAUAAUUCCAUAAUUGAAGUUGAUAUGAAUACGGAAAAAAAAAACGAGUAAGUACACCAUUAAUCAAAAUCAAGCUUUUAUUAGAAGAUAAACUAGAAGUGAGUGGAAUCUACGUUUCAGGCUCACAGAUCUCUUUAAUAAAUUCAAGACUGAUUAAAGUAAGAGAAAAGAAAGACAAUGAGAACAUAGCAUAUAUGAAAACGGUUAAUGGUGUGAAGAAGACAGAUGGCUUGAUAACAAUAAAAAUAAAAAUAUUUGAUAUAGAAGAGAAGAUUGACGUUUAUGUAGUAGAAAAUGAUGAUUUUGAAGAUUUUAUAAUCGGUUUGGAUAUAAUACAGAAAUUUAAAUUGACUCAAAAUGAAGACUUGCAGAUAGAACAAAAGAAAAUAGCAAAUAAAAUAGACAUGUCUAAAGAUAACAGAAAUGAAGAUAAGAAUAUAAAAACAUAUGCAAUAAAUUUCAAUGAACAUAUAGAGACAGAGGAAUUCAUAAGUAUGAUAGACCAUUUAGAUAAUGAAAAGAAGAUUGAGAUAGAAAAAAUUAUCAAAGAAUAUAAAACAAUUUUUGCUAAGGACAAGUACGAUAUAGGAUCAGUGAAAGAUUAUGAAGCUCACAUAGAUUUAAUAGUAAACAGAUACUGUAGUAAAAGACCCUACAGAUGUACAAUAGAAGACAAAUUAGAAAUCGAAGAGCAAAUAUCUAUGUUACUGAAGAAUAAUUUAAUAGAAGAAUCUUACAGUCCCUUUGCUGCACCAGUGACAUUGGCAUUUAAAAAAGGUGAAAAUAGAAAAUCCCGCUUAUGUGUGGAUUUUAGAGACUUGAACAAAAUUGUGGUACCGCAAGCUCAGCCUUUCCCAUUAAUAGAUGAUUUGAUAAUUAAGACUAGAAACUGUAAGUAUUUUACUACACUGGAUAUAAACUCUGCAUUUUGGGCAAUACCACUGCGGGUUGAAGAUAGAUUUAAAACAGGAUUUGUCACGCAGGAUGGCCAUUUCCAGUGGACCUGCCUUCCUUUUGGUUUGAAAACAUCACCAGCCAUUUUCCAGAGAAUUUUAAGCAAUAUUCUAAGAAAGCACAAUCUCACAGGAUACUCUGUAAAUUAUAUCGAUGAUAUUUUAAUCUACUCUGCCACCUUCGAGGAGCAUAUAAGACACAUAAGGAAUGUAUUAGAGGCAAUAAUAAAAGAAGGCUUUAGAUUGAAGUUCAAGAAAUGUACCUUCGCUUCAGACUCAGUAAGAUAUCUCGGGCAUGUGAUUCAGAAUAACUCUGUAAGACCACUUAAAGACAAUUUGAUCUCAAUAAGACAUUUUCCAACUCCUAAGACACAAAAGAAUAUUAGACAAUUUCUGGGUAAAAUCAACUUCUACCAUGAAUACAUACCAAGAAGCGCGAUUGUCUUAGAUCCAUUACAUAACUUAUUAAGGAAAAACGAAAAGUUUGUGUGGUCAGAGAAGUGCGAAGAAUCGUUCAAUCAGAUAAAACAAUAUUUAUGUUCUCAACCAGUAUUGGAAAUAUUCGAUAAAGACUUGCCUAUAAAAAUCUUUACAGAUGCAUCCUUAGAGGGUAUCGGGGCAAUACUGAAACAAACACAACUUGAUGGUAAAGACAAACCAGUAGCAUAUUUCUCAAAAAAACUCAAUGAAUGUCAAAAACGAAAAAAGGCUAUAUAUUUGGAGUGUUUGGCAAUGAAAGAAGCUGUUAAGUAUUGGCAACACUGGCUCAUUGGAAAACAAUUCACUAUCUACUCAGACCACAAACCUCUUGAGAACAUGAACAUUAAAUGUAGGACAGAUGAAGAAUUGGGUGAGCUUACAUAUUAUCUAUCUCAAUAUGACUUUACAGUAAAAUAUAUACCUGGUAAAGAGAAUAUAGAAGCAGACUGUUUAAGCCGAAACCCUGUGCUAGAAUCAGAAGAUAACAAAGACGAACUACUGAAAAUUGUUAAUUUAAUACAAAUAAAAGAUAUAGUUGAAGACCAAGAGAAGAAUGAAACAAUACAAGAAAAGAAACAAAAUCUAAUACACAAAAAUAAUAUCUAUUAUAAGAAAAUAAAGAAACAUGAAAAGAUUAUCCUAUCGGAAGAGUUUAGUCAAAAAUUUAUAAAAAAGGUGCAUGAAGAUUAUUUUCACAUUGGAAUAAGACAAUUACAGAAAAAAAUAAGUUCAAUAUAUACAGCUAAAAACUUAACAAAAAAUAUUAUAAAUGUUUGUAAAACGUGUGAAAUAUGUAUAAAAAAUAAAUCAAGAUGCCAAGCCAAAUUUGGAUUAAUGUCACAACUGGGACCAGCAACAAAACCAUUUGAAAUAAUGUCAUUAGACACUAUUGGUGGCUUCGGAGGAUCUAGGUCAACAAAAAAAUACCUUCACCUUUUAGUUGACCACUACACAAGAUAUGCAUUUAUUGAGACCUCAAAAACACAGAAUGCAAGUGACUUUAUAAAAUUAGUAAAAAAAAUAUUAGAGACAGAUGAGAUUGGAAUAAUUUUGACAGAUCAAUAUCCAGGAAUCAAUUCAAGAGAAUUUAAGCAAUAUUUGCAAGAAAAUAGUAUCAAACUAAUUUUUACAGCUGUGAAUACACCAUUCUCUAACGGCUUGAAUGAAAGGUUAAAUCAAACAAUAGUAAAUAAAAUACGAUGUAAAAUUAAUGAGAGAAAUAACAACAAAACAUGGACAACGGUAGCAAGGGAAUGUAUACAAAAGUAUAAUGAAACAGAACACUCCGUUACAGGUUUUGCACCAAGAUAUUUAUUAGACGGUACAAAUGUUAAUAUUGUGCCUAACGAAUUUAAAACAAUAGAAAAGGAAGACAAGUGGAUUGCGGAUAGAAGAUUGGCAUUAGAAAAUACAAUAAAAUCCCACAAGUACAACAAGAAAAUAUUUGAUAGAAAUAGAAAAAUACAAGAGUUUAAUGUAGGAGACAGUGUAUACGUAGAAAAUGGAAAUAGAAUGAAUAGAAAGAAAUUGGAUGAACUAAAAAUAGGCCCUUUUAAGAUAGUAGAGAAAAUAUCAAACUCCAUUUAUAGGAUUGACACUGGAAACAGAAAAACAGAAUCGACUUUAUUUCACAUAACAAAAUUACAACCUGUCACCACAGAGGAUGCAGAAGAAAAAGUAGAAGAAAACUAAUAUGAAGAUAACUGAUAUGUACACUAUAUACAUUAUUUACUAUUUUCGCUCUUAGGGGGGGAGAUGUAAUGAAAUGUAAUUUCAUUAAUUAUUUAAUUUAAACUUGCCGCGCUUCGCGCGUUUAUAAGUUGUCUGUGGCGAGUGACGCGAUAUAAUGGCGGACGAUGCUUUUCCACGAAUACAUCCUAUUUUGCUGUGUGAAUUUUAUUGAUAAAAUAACGAAUAUAGAAAAGGAUUAUUGAGGAGACGAUGUUAUAAACUUAAAUGUCGUUUCUUUGAUUGUUUCAGAGAAACAAAUUCGUUUCAUUUAAUCCUCAAUAUAUCUUACAUGUAUAU